GCACUGUUCAAAAUGAAACAAAAAGCAUUCCGGAAGAAUAUCCACCCACCCACCCCAGAGCAGGCUUUAAGUGUGGACUGAAGGAAGUAGGAACUUGGUGAAGCCAGGUGCCCUGGUCAGGCAGGUGCAGGUGCUGAGCACUGAGCAGAGCGGCUAGAACCUACGUUUCUCAAAUACCGGCAAUGAGGAAAGCGAGCCAUCACGGGGCCUGUGAGCAGUUAACAAGGGAGAAGAAUGGGUCAGGACAGGUGGGGUUGUUACACAACUAGAGUGCCCCUGGGGACUGAAGGAGCUGUCAGAACUAAUUGGCCAGAGUCCAUGCCACCCUAUUAAGAAACAGUUUCAGUUUCACCGCUGCUUUCAAGCUCUUUCAUAAACCACUGGAUGGCCGAGUUAAAUAUGUCGCAGAUGUCUCCCACGUUCUUUCUUGCCACCAAAUCGCAGAUGCUACCAUAAUGUCAAUCUAAAGUCUCUGGGCAGACAACCUCACCAAUGUGUCCUGGAACCCCACCUCUCCACCGCCCUAUCUCACUUGGAAAGAUAGAAACAGUCUGGGAGUAUGGAUUAACCUUCCAAUAUCCAUGUCCAUCAGAGAAGUAAUUCAACCUUCUACUUCCUGCACUCCAUAAUGAUCCUGUGUCCAUACUCCCAGAAGUAUGAAGAGUAGGGAAGCUUC